rnacentral:rRNA from 1 species
CUUUACUGUAGCCUGGUAUUGGGUUCGGGCUUUGACUGCGCAGGAUAGGUGGGAGACUAUGAAGCUGCCCUUGCGGGGGCAGUGGAGUCAUCAGUGAGAUACCACUCUGUCAAGGCUAGAAUUCUAACCGUCUGCCGUUAUCCGGCGACGGAACAGUAUCAGGUGGGCAGUUUGACUGGGGCGGUCGCCUCCUAAAUGGUAACGGAGGCGCGCAAAGGUUCCCUCAGGCUGGUUGGAAAUCAGCCGAAGAGUGUAAAGGCAGAAGGGAGCUUGACUGCAAGAGCAACAACUCAAGCAGGGACGAAAGUCGGCCUUAGUGAUCCGACGGCGCUGAGUGGAAGGGCCGUCGCUCAACGGAUAAAAGUUA